rnacentral:rRNA from 1 species
GGAGGAAAGCAGGGGAUCGAAAGACCUUACGUUAUUGGAGCGGCCGAUAUCGGAUUAGCUAGUUGGUGGGGUAAAGGCCUACCAAGGCGACGAUCCGUAGCUGGUCUGAGAGGACGACCAGCCACACUGGAACUGAGACACGGUCCAGACUCCUACGGGAGGCAGCAGUGGGGAAUUUUGGACAAUGGGCGAAAGCCUGAUCCAGCCAUUCCGCGUGAGUGAAGAAGGCCUUCGGGUUGUAAAGCUCUUUCGCGAGGGAAGAAAACUUAACCUCUAAUAUAGGUUGAGGUUGACGGUACCUUGAUAAGAAGCACCGGCUAACUACGUGCCAGCAGCCGCGGUAAUACGUAGGGUGCGAGCGUUAAUCGGAAUUACUGGGCGUAAAGCGUGCGCAGGCGGUUAGAUAAGUCAGAUGUGAAAUCCCCGAGCUCAACUUGGGAACUGCGUUUGAAACUACAAGGCUAG